UGGGGAAUCUUGCGCAAUGGGCGAAAGCCUGACGCAGCGACGCCGCGUGAGCGAUGAAGGCCUUCGGGUUGUAAAGCUCUGUGGGGAGAGAAGAAUAAGGUUCGGCUAAUACCCGAAUCGAUGACGGUAUCUCCUUAGCAAGCACCGGCUAACUCUGUGCCAGCAGCCGCGGUAAGACAGAGGGUGCAAACGUUGUUCGGAAUUACUGGGCGUAAAGCGCGUGUAGGCGGCAGGGCAAGUCGGAUGUGAAAGCCCACGGCUCAACCGUGGAAGUGCACCCGAAACUGCCCCGCUAGAGUCUCGGAGAGGAAGGUGGAAUGCUUGGUGUAGAGGUGAAAUUCGUAGAUAUCAAGCGGAACACCGGUGGCGAAGGCGGCCUUCUGGACGAUGACUGACGCUGAGACGCGAAAGCGUGGGGAGCAAACAG
rnacentral:rRNA from 1 species